UAUGUUUUGACCUCAGCUCAGCCGUGACUGCCCGCUGA
rnacentral:rRNA from 1 species